GCCUCAGACCCUGCUCCUUGGACAGCUGACUGCUCUCUGGCUGACUCUGACCCCAGCACCUCGGGUCCCUUUCCCCAGACCCCAAGGGGUGCGGAUGAGGCCCGGCCAGGGGUUCGUGGGGGACGGGCUGUGUCUCCUUCCCGCCCCCUCAGCAGUGGCUCCCUCCUGGGGCCUGUUUCCCCCAGAAAGGUUCCCUGGUGCCUCCUCACAGGAGCCUCUGACGGCUCCCUGGCAGGCAGCAGCCAUGGCCUGGGGCUCUCGGGGCCUGCCUGGCUUGACAGGUGAGGGCCCCGCCCAGAGACCCCCCCCCCCCCCGCCACGGGAACGCCUCCUCCCCAGUUACCCGCCUCCGCCCAGACCUGCAACACUUCACUGGCUGAGAAGACGUCUGCUUUCCAGCCUGGAGGGGCCGCUUCUGAGGCCUGUGGAUCCCAGAUUCAGCCACAGAAGCCCAGGAAAAAAUGAAUGCCACGUGCUCCCUCUGGUCCCCGGCGACUGGGCCUGCGGUGCCUUGAAGGACCGCUUGUAGGUGUACACGUCAGGGCCCCCAUCCACCUUCUGGGUCUUGCUGAACAGGGAGCCAGCCUGGUCCCUGCCCUGAUCCCUGAGGUCCACUCAGUCACCAGCAGCCAAUGACUACAGGAUGAAGCUCCACCCAGACCCUGGAGGACAGGUUUGGAGAGCUUCCAGGAUACAGACACGUGGAGGUGCGGAAGGGUGCUGCUUGGAGGGGGCAGGGCAGCCCACCCCCUUCCCCGCACCUCGCUGUGAGCCUCUCUUCCAUCACUCACUUAACCCCUGGAGGGCUUAGAGGGCCCGGAUUCACAUGUGAUGUCUGGACUUUGACCUGGUGUGGAGUGGGGGUCGAGGCCCCAACCUGUGGGGUCAGAUGCUGCCUCUGGAAAGCCAGCGUCACACUGAGCCGACGGCCGGCAGCAUCCGAGACUGGCUGGGGCGUGCGGGCAGAACCCUUUGUUGGGGGCGCCUCAGGCCCACGUCCCCACUCCCGUGUGGGGGUUACAGUGGGAGUCCCUCUCUUCAGUUUGACUUAGUCCCCCCGAAAGCCUUUCUGUUCAUUUUAACUGAGUCCCCUUUGGAUGUGGCGCUGGAGCUCACUCACUGUGGGUAAACGUUCACUGCGGCGCCUGGAGCUCUGUGACGGCUGCAUGGGGGGAUCCCCACACUUCCCUUCCGUGGACGGCCCUGUCCUGGGUGAUGCCCGAGCUGUCCCAAGUCACUCUGCUGAGCUCACUGCAUGGAGUUCUGGGGUUGAGCACCUGCGGCUGGUCUGUUGUCUUGAAACUCUUAAUGCCGCUUUAGCGAGGCACCUGCUUUGUCACCCAGAGCAGGGAAUUCCGCGGCUGUCCUCCUGGGGGAGGUCUCCUCCUCCUGGCCUCACCCCUACCCCCUCAGUAGAGGUGAAUCUGCAGGUCCAGGCCCAAAGCCAAGCUCAAUUUUUUCCGCAUCCAGUUAUUUAAAAAUAGCCCAACAAGCCAACAUUUAGCCUUUAGAACCUGCCUGCGUUUCCUGCGGUGGCCGCGGCUCUGACUGCCUCCCCCAGGAGUUCCGUUCCCUCCCCUCCCCCUCUAGAUGGCGCCCUGUUGGCCGGGGGCGGGGGUGGGGGUGGGGGGCUCAAGCCUGAAGCCCUCCCCGCAGGCCCGCUCCAGGCCACCAGGACCUCGGGCACUCACGUCGCAGCCGCGCAUGGCAUCCAUGGCCAGCAGAUGGUUGCCGAGGCACAGCUGGAAGCGGAUCACGUCCUCUGUGGCCCGCAGCUCCCCCAGCUCCUGCUCACGGGCGGGGCAGCGGGCGGCCUCUUCCAGGUCCCGGAGCAGCAGUGCGUACUUGGCCAUGCGCUGUACGGGCCUCAGCAGGUAGAAGGCGAGGUCCAUCCUGUUGCCCAGCUCCCACUGCCUGUCCUGCAAGGCCGGGCAUGAGGGUCAGGCUGGCCCGGCACAGCUCGUGGGCUGGGAGGACAACCUGGAUGAAGGCGUUGCCGCUGCUGCGGAGCAGGGCAUCCAACAGGAGCUUGUGCUUGCUGUAGAGCAAGCACAUCCAAACUGCUCUUCCUGCAAAGGGAGGGCAUGGCCCUGAGGUCAGAACCUGGCCCAGCCCUGGUGGUCCCACUACCAUCAUUAGACUGUCAGCUCCCUAAGUGUGGCGGGAGCUCCUGGGGCCAAGGCCAGAGUUCUAGAAUUGGACUCCAGGUAUGGAGUUUGGAGACAAGGCAGGAGGUGUGCUCAGAGGGCGGGCCUGGGGGGCUUUGAAAUAUUCAGUAACAGGAACCCAGGUCGUCUAAACUUUUAAUUCUCAAGACUGCUGUCAACAUAAAGCAACGUGGAAGUUGCACAUUCUGGCUAAAUGCACUUUUUAAGAAACAACUGAGAAGAUGCAACACGUGGGAUUUCUUUCAUGCAUGGGUGUUUUCGCUGUGGUCAUUCACAUUUGAUAAUAAAUAAUGAAGCAAAGU
rnacentral:lncRNA from 9 species